CCUGCGGAAGGAUCAAUA
rnacentral:rRNA from 1 species